AAAAAAAAAAAAAAAAAAAAAAAGCACAAGGAUUCAAUUUGCAGGAAUCCUCCGCCACUGGACCAGUAGUAAUUGGUCUCUCAUCAGAACACUCACUUUGAAGGAGAGAGAAGAAAGAAAAGAGAAGGAAGACUACCAAUAAUAGAAGCAGCUUUCUUGGCUUUCACUUUCAAUCUCAUAAAUGGUGACUUGGUUUAUCACUGAAAAGCUUUAAAGCCGUAUCGAAAAAAAAUAAAAAAUUUCUUUCACCGAAAAGC
rnacentral:misc_RNA from 1 species